rnacentral:rRNA from 1 species
AGCGAACGCUGGCGGCAGGCCUAACACAUGCAAGUCGAACGGAUCCUUCGGGAUUAGUGGCGGACGGGUGAGUAACACGUGGGAACGUGCCCUUUGGUUCGGAACAACUCAGGGAAACUUGAGCUAAUACCGGAUGUGCCCUUCGGGGGAAAGAUUUAUCGCCAUUGGAGCGGCCCGCGUCUGAUUAGCUAGUUAGUGAGGUAACGGCCCACCAAGGCGACGAUCAGUAGCUGGUCUGAGAGGAUGAUCAGCCACACUGGGACUGAGACACGGCCCAGACUCCUACGGGAGGCAGCAGUGGGGAAUCUUGCGCAAUGGGCGAAAGCCUGACGCAGCCAUGCCGCGUGAAUGAUGAAGGUCUUAGGAUUGUAAAAUUCUUUCAGCGGGGACGAUAAUGACGGUACCCGCAGAAGAAGCUCCGGCUAACUUCGUG